UCUUUUUUGCCCGUCGGUGUGGGUCCGUACGGGACUCCUUCUGGGUCCGGACCCAGACCGCAGUCCACCAGUGACUGACCUCUGAAAUAGAGCAUCAGAAAGUUCUGUAGAAGACAUACCACCACCUCUUUUGAAACAUUUGGCAUCAGAAGCGGGAUCCUGUAAAUGAUUUGACUCCCUCUGAGUUAAGUCAGAUUGCCAAUCCUUGUAAAAUAAUUUUUACAAAAAAAAGUCACUAUACAGACUGCUCGACAAUCAAUAUCUGUUUGUGGUGUUGAUUUUGAGCAAAAACACAGACAGAGAAGGAAACCAAAGAGAAAAUGUUGCAUUUCACACCUCCACUGGGCCGUACUGCUGACCAAGAUUAUGGUGUUGGCGGUUUGUGGCGUUUCUUCUCUCUCUUCCAGAUACUUCACCCACCGCUGAGCUGGAAACCAUGUCGUGGUUUGUGACGGAACGCCAGUGGACCUGAGAGAUGAUCAGCAGUGCUCGAGUCGCUUUUACUCCAGCUGCGACAGUCGCCUCUGCACCUUGACCAUCUCAAAUGCGAGCCAGAAUGACUCGGCAGAGUAUGUGUUCAUGAUCAACGUGCCGAUCAACCUUUGGAUGAGAAGGAGGUUCUUCCGUGGCUCACGUGGCGUCAGCUUGUUUGUGUCAGGUAACCUCCAAGACGCUCCGAGGCUUUUGCGGACAUCUGUGGUUCUGGGGGGGCCGCUGGUUGACUCUGACCUGUCGCGGCGAUGCCAACCCAGCUGCUAACUGGCGUCGGGUCAGAACUUCAGCGUUCGGCCGGAGGACGUCGCCAAUUAUGUCUGCGCGGCCAGAAACAGCCGAGGGCUCCGCCGGAUCACCGUGUACAUGGACGCAACAGUAAGAAACAACAUGAUCGGGCUGAGCGCGACGCUUGUGCUCCUGAUCCUGGUGGUGCUCCUGGCUCUCUGCAUGAGGAAGAUGACGUCUCCCUCCUCGUGAACGCAACCAAACGAGCAGCGACAACCCGAAGAGCAGCGCCACCAUGGGGACUAUGAGAACAUCUACGCGGCAGUGUUGACACACAAACAUCAACAGGAGGACACGCUGUGAAGGAC